rnacentral:rRNA from 1 species
CUCGCCUGCACGAAGUCGGAAUUGCUAGUAAUCGUAGGUCAGCAUACUACGGUGAAUACGUUCCCGGGCCUUGUACACACCGCCCGUCAAACCAUGAGAGUUGGCAACACCCGAAGUCGGUAGUCUAACCGCAAGGAGGACGCCGCCGAAGGUGGGGUUGAUGAUUAGGGUUAAGUCGUAACAAGGUAGC